GGACUUGUGGCCUAAUUGAUAAGGCGUCGGACUUCGGAUCCGAAGAUUGCAUGUUCGAGUCCUGCCAGGGGCG
rfam:Necator americanus N_americanus-1.0_Cont425.14, whole genome shotgun sequence.